AUUGAACGCUGGCGGCAGGCCUAACACAUGCAAGUCGAGCGGAUGAAGGGAGCUUGCUCCUGGAUUCAGCGGCGGACGGGUGAGUAAUGCCUAGGAAUCUGCCUGGUAGUGGGGGAUAACGUCCGGAAACGGGCGCUAAUACCGCAUACGUCCUGAGGGAGAAAGUGGGGGAUCUUCGGACCUCACGCUAUCAGAUGAGCCUAGGUCGGAUUAGCUAGUUGGUGGGGUAAAGGCCUACCAAGGCGACGAUCCGUAACUGGUCUGAGAGGAUGAUCAGUCACACUGGAACUGAGACACGGUCCAGACUCCGACGGGAGGCAGCAGUGGGGAAUAUUGGGCAAUGGGCGAAAGCCUGAUCCAGCCAUGCCGGGUGUGUGAAGAAGGUCUUCGGAUUGGAAAGCACUUUAAGUUGGGAGGAAGGACAGUAAGUUAAUACCUUGCUGUUUUGACGUUACCAGCAGAAUAAGCACCGGCUAACUCCGUG
rnacentral:rRNA from 1 species